rnacentral:lncRNA from 1 species
UCCCAGUUGGAGGAAACUGAUAUAGUCUCAGAACUCCAUCUUAUACUUAGUUUAUGUUUUUGUUGUUUCUGUGUUUUCCAUCCAAAGCCAUGUUUAGGCUUGGAUUUUCAGUCGAGUUAUGUACUAGUACUACCAAGCAAAAAGGGUCUACCUAGGUGUAAAAGGAAGCCUAACCCAACUCCAAUCCACCACACUUAAUUGCUUGAGCCUUAGCCUUUCUUCAAUGCCCACGGUCAUCACUCAUCUCUAGGAACGGAGAAGGAUAUAUGAUAGUCUUGAAAAUAGAAUUGUUGAAUGUAUAGGAGGGAAGAAAGAGAAGAAGAAAUCCUAGAAAGGUGAGUGCCACCGUGGGCGAAGUCCUAAGAGACCAUUUUUUCUUCUACUUUUCAUCCUGCUUCUUGACCUAUUUCUUCUUGGAGCCACCUUCUUGACCCCGUCAUCCUUCAUCUCAAUACCUUGGUAGAGCGUGGCCUGAAAAUUCUCA